AACUUCUUGCAGCAGUGAUGCCUCUUUCAUUUUGCCACAGCCUGUGGCAUUUUGCAUCCACAACACCUCUUAACGAGUCUGAAUAAAACACAGGGAUUGAUGUAAAAACCUAACUGUGAAGAAACACCUCCUCCUGCAACUCACUUGGGGGGUUUUCUAUGCUGUCAGUGCUGUGCUGAACUGUAAUGCAUUUCUCCUUCCAAUAUAUUUUUUGUAAGGUCUGGAUGGUAUACAAGUUCCAUCAUACAGAAAUAAACAUACUGGUUGGCUCUUCAGCAUGGAAGCUCAGGGAAAUACGGCUUUAUAAAAUUUAAUUUGCAAACUGAAAUGCUGUGACCAAGAAUCUCUGCAGUUAGUAACUAAUUCCAGAUUUGGGGCUGAUGGUGAAUGUCUCAGAGCCUCUUCCUCGCCCCCAAAAAACGCCGUCCGUGCGUAGCAGCGCUGCAGUACCACACUGCGUCCAGCAGGUGGCGCUGCUGCUCACAGGCGGCGGUGGGGCGGGCACAUGCAAAUCUACCGCGGCGCUGAGCCAAUCGGCUGCCACCGGGCGCGGAGCGGGGGCAGAUGGGAGCAGAGCGGUCCGGUCCCAGGGCUCGCUCGGGAGCGCGAACGGAGAGAGAAGAGACAGCGUAGAGCCUGCGGGGGAGGAUAAUCGAGAGCUGUAGGUCUUGAUAUCGCUUCCCACUCUGAGCACGAGGAGGAGGCUCGGGAUGCCAAUCUGGUUCUCCAUGUCAUGGUACACGUGCGCCUGUGUUUCCGGAAGUAGUCUCUGAUUGUCGUGCACUCCUACGCCGCCGGUUCGCUAUUUUCUAUGGUUUUCAGUCCUCCGGAAGGUGAAACGCAUGCGCCCGGCAACACGGAAGUAGCGUCUUUCUGCAGGGACAGCUGUACACCAGCAGUACGCUGAUCUCUAUUGUACCCGGUCCUCCUGAUUGUUCUACGCAUGCGCACCGCAAUGCGCAGGUGCCGCCGCUCCGCACGCGUGCGCAAUUCACGUGGAGGACCGAUGACCAUAGAGCCUGCUGGAACCGGGGGCCUAGCGCGGCCUGCAGGAAGUCGCUGUGUUUACUUCCUGCUGCGUUGGGUUGCAGCUACGUGGCGGCGCGGCGGGCGCGAUGCGGAUCUUGAUGGUGAUGCUGCAGCCGAGGCCCUGUGAGCAGCAGUUACACUGCAGUACCCCUGCUACCCACAACGGCCUUCCAGUUAACUCUUCUCUGUAUUCUUAGAACGCUUCUUGGAGCAGUGCUGCAUCCAUCAGUGGUUUUUGUUCUCACAGCCAUGAACUCUGCAUGGGGAAGAACUGAUCAGUCUGCUCCAGUGGCUUGGCUGUAGAAGUGCUGAAAAGUCCUGCAAUCAUUUUGGAAGCCAGGGGCUUGCUGAAGAGUAUCUGAUACCCAUUGUGGAAGCUACAAAGCCUCAUCAUAACCUUGUUUGCACGUUUCCCACCUCUCCAUCUGUGGAACGUCUCUAAAACCACCAAUAUGAAUAAGAAGAUAAGUACCAACGUUACUUUGCAGCCUGAGCUCUGUACAGUCAGGCAGGAUGUUUUUAUUUGUUUCACACCAAGGAAAAAAUAACACCGGUGAACCUCCAGGUGGUUUUUGGCACAUCUGAAAGCUUCCCGUGGGCUCACCCAGCAGUCACGUGCAAUAGGGCACAAUGCACCACAGCACUGUGCAGGAGACACGCAGCCAAGAGCAACACUGCAGAACGCUUUCUGGGACAAAAUGACCUCACCAUAACGUUUGAACUGGGAUACACAAUUCCAGAGGCUUUGAUGUUAGUCCAGGCCAGGGGAUCCGAAAACAUAGUGUGAGUGUUGGGUUUUCCUGAUGAACUUUGCUAUCUAAGUGUUUUAUAGUUACUUUUUAUUCUUUGCAAUUAAAAUAACCAGGGAAAGAACCUUCUUUGUCUUUCUUUGUCCCUCGCUCAGUCUGUAGGGCAUUUUCACAUGCAAACAAAGUAUCACAACACUGCUCAAGUACUUCAACCUUCCUGGAAAAUAACACUUGAUGAGUAAGACACCAUUGAUUCUUUCAGUAGGGACUGUGAAAUAUGAGGAAUAAAGCACAGCAAGGCUUAUCACAGGAAGCAGGCAGAAAUGAAGGGACUCUGAGGGUGACCUGUCCUGCUUAGAGCACGGAGGCUGCUCCCAAAAAUGCCUGUGCAAGUACUAUGGCCUUGUCAGCAUUCUCUUUAGGUACUCAGCAGUUGCACCAAAUACAACAUCCCCUGUAAUGUAUUGCAUGGAUCCUAUCUGCAAUUGUUUAAACCUGGUGCUUUUUUAAAGACCAUUACCCUUUUUACCAAUUGCCUUCAGCACAACUGGCUCUUUAUGGCAUGUUUACAGUAUAUAUUAGAGAGAGCGGAGUGUGUAAAUUCCUCCCAUGCCGGCAGUGGUGGUCUGAUGCAGAACAGGCUGCCUCUGUGCAAAGGCUGCACAUGAAAAUAGCAGAGGGAAGACAACGUAUCCACAGUGGAUGAGCCUUUCUGAGUUGGGUGUACAUGCGUUCCAGAUGCAAGGAUGGCCCAACUGUUAGAAUACAUCGUAUGACAACGUCUUCUCACUGUAGCCAACAGUAGAGAGCACUCGUUUGUUCUAAAGAAAGCUCUGGAAAACACCCUUGUUCAUUUCUCUCCGAGAUCAUAAGAAAUCAAGAGGGUACAAAUGAACUGAGAAACCAUUUCAUGUCUAAUAGGCCACUCCUGUUCAGG
ensembl:lncRNA